GACGAACGCUGGCGGCGUGCUUAACACAUGCAAGUCGAACGGAAAGGCCCUGCUUUUGUGGGGUGCUCGAGUGGCGAACGGGUGAGUAACACGUGAGUAACCUGCCCUUGACUUUGGGAUAACUUCAGGUAACUGGGGCUAAUACCGGAUAGGAGCUCCUGCUGCAUGGUGGGGGUUGGAAAGUUUCGGCGGUUGGGGAUGGACUCGCGGCUUAUCAGCUUGUUGGUGGGGUAGUGGCUUACCAAGGCUUUGACGGGUAGCCGGCCUGAGAGGGUGACCGGCCACAUGGGGACUGAGAUACGGCCCAGACUGCUACGGGAGACAGCAGUGGGGAAUAUUGCACAGUGAGCGGAAGCCUGAUGCAGCGACGCCGCGUGCGGGAUGACGGCCUUCGGGUUGUAAACCGCUUUCGCCUGUGACGAAGCGUGAGUGACGGUAAUGGGUAAAGAAGCACCGGCUAACUACGUG
rnacentral:rRNA from 1 species